UGCCAGCAGCCGCGGUAAUACGAAGGGUGCUAGCGUUGUUCGGAAUUACUGGGCGUAAAGCGCACGUAGGUGGCUUGGUAAGUCGGAUGUGAAAGCCCUGGGCUCAACCUGGGAAUUGCAUUCGAUACUGCUUAGCUAGAGUAUGAGAGAGGGUAGUGGAAUUCCGCGUGUAGCAGUGAAAUGCGUAGAGAUGUGGAGGAACACCGAUGGCGAAGGCAGCCCCCUGGGUCAACACUGACGCUCAGGCACGAAAGCAUGGGGAGCAAACAGGAUUAGAUA
rnacentral:rRNA from 1 species